UGACAUGCAGGUGCAGUGUGUCUGGAGUC
rnacentral:piRNA from 1 species